UACGGGGGGAGCAAGCGUUGUUCGGAUUUACUGGGCGUAAAGGGCGCGUAGGCGGUCGUGACAAGUCACUUGUGAAAUCUCCGGGCUUAACUCGGAACGGUCAAGUGAUACUGUCGGACUAGAGUACAGAAGGGGCAACUGGAAUUCUCGGUGUAGCGGUGAAAUGCGUAGAUAUCGAGAGGAACACCUGCGGCGAAGGCGGCUUCCUGGCCUGUUCUUGACGCUGAGGCGCGAAAGCUAGGGGAGCAAACAGG
rnacentral:rRNA from 1 species